rnacentral:rRNA from 1 species
GGGCUUGACAUCCCACGAACCUGGGGGAAACUUCGGGGUGCCCGCAAGGGAGCGCGGAGACAGGUGGUGCAUGGCUGUCGUCAGCUCGUGUCGUGAGAUGUUGGAUUAUGUUCCGCAACGAGCGCAACCCUCGGUGCCUGUUGUCAGCGGUUCGGCCGGACCCUCAGGCGCAACUGCCGCAGCAAUGUGGAGGAAGGUGGGGAUGACGUCAAGUCAGCAUGCCCCGGACGCCCUGGGCUACACACGUACUACAAUGGCCGGUACAAAGGGCAGCCAACCCGCGAGGGAGAGCGAAUCCCAAAAAAGCGGCCUCAGUUCGGAUUGCAGUCUGCAACUCGACUGCAUGAAGGUGGAAUCGCUAGUAAUCGCAGAUCAGCAAGCUGCGGUGAAUACGUUCCCGGGCCUUGUACACACCGCCCGUCACAUCACGAAAGUGGGCUGUACUCGAAGUCGCUGAG